AUGCCUGCUAAUGGCUCAAAUGCCCCAACUACAGAGCAAGUCAUGCACAGACAGUGGCAGUACAGUUUCCUCUGGCUGAUCUAUCAAUGUGCCUUAAUGAUUUUCUAAAGGAACCACAUCAAAGGGGGAAACAAUUGUUCAGUUAACCAUGCCUAUUCAUUCUUGGGUUUCU
ensembl:misc_RNA